rnacentral:lncRNA from 1 species
GUAGCACGCUAUAGCGAUCGCUACGCUCGCUAUUGACAACUAUGCUACACAUACAUGAUUACAUGUACAUAAAGAGAAGGGCAAAAGAGUAAUACACAAGCCAAAUACAGACUAAUUGUUCCUAGGAACAUAAAUUUCAAACCAAUGCCAACUAAAAGUUGAUCUAGGGAACAGGUCCAAUUUAAUCAAGGUUUUAGCCACGAGGUUUAUCGAGUUUGCAUAUAAGUAUGAGCUCAAAAGAUAUAAUGAAUCAACCCUGAGCUAUUUAUCACUAGAGCAUCACCAACAACAAGCCCAAAAACACAAGUUACACAACCACAUCAUAACUGCCCGUGUCGCCCCUAAAAACCGCAGCCCGCCAUCUCCUCCCUCUCUCCUUCACCCGAGCUCAAAAACGCCACAAAAACCGAUUUUCUCGUUUCUCUAAUUAAAUAAAUCCAAAAGCUAGCUAAAAGACUAGUGCAAGCUCUGUAAACCCUACACAUUAUCAAACCCCCAAAUCACAGAUAAUGAAACAACAAUCAACUUCAUCAGAAACAUCAUAAACCCUAACUCACAGAAUAAAACCAACAGUUCCAAAUAUUAAUACAAACAUUUCAUAUAUUAGUAGUAUUACAUCCAACUAAAUCUAAUAACAUGAAAUCUAAUCCUUAACUAACGAAAUCAAACCUGUUGAAAGCUCUUCAACGUCUUCC